rnacentral:rRNA from 1 species
CAGUCGCCGCGGUAAUACAGAGGGUGCAAGCGUUAAUCGGAAUUACUGGGCGUAAAGCUCGCGUAGGUGGUUUGUUAAGUUGGAUGUGAAAUCCCCGGGCUCAACCUGGGAACUGCAUCCAAAACUGGCAAGCUAGAGUAUGGUAGAGGGUGGUGGAAUUUCCUGUGUAGCGGUGAAAUGCGUAGAUAUAGGAAGGAACACCAGUGGCGAAGGCGACCACCUGGACUGAUACUGACACUGGGGUGCGAAAGCGUGGGGAGCAAACAGGAUUAGAUACCCCGUAGUCCUGUCUCUUAUACAC